rnacentral:rRNA from 1 species
GCAUAACGCGAAGAACCUUACCAGGCCUUGACAUCCUGAGAACCCUCCCGAAAAGGAGGGGUGCCCUUCGGGGAACUCAGUGACAGGUGCUGCAUGGCUGUCGUCAGCUCGUGUCGUGGGAUGUUCGGUUAAGUCCGGCAACGAGCGCAACCCUCGCCAUUAGUUGCCAGCAUUUCGGAUGGGCACUCUAGUGGGACUGCCUAUGAAAGUAGGAGGAAGGCGGGGAUGACGUCUAGUCAGCAUGGUCCUUACGGCCUGGGCGACACACGUGCUACAAUGGCCGGUACAACGCGCUGCCACCUCGCGAGAGGGAGCUAAUCGUUAAAGCCGGUCCCAGUUCGGAUUGCAGUCUGCAACUCGACUGCAUGAAGUUGGAAUCGCUAGUAAUCGCGGAUCAGCCAUGCCGCGGUGAAUACGUUCCCGGGUCUUGUACACACCG